rnacentral:rRNA from 1 species
AAAGCAUCUAAGCGCGAAGCCCCCCUCAAGAUGAGAUUUCCCAGUAUGUAAGACCCCUUGUAGACGACGAGGUUGAUAGGUUCGGGGUGGAAGCACGGUAACGUGUGCAGCUGACGAAUACUAAUCGGUCGAGGGCUUAUCCAAC